AGUGAACGCUGACGGUAGGCCUAACACAUGCAAGUCGAACGGCAGCACAGGAGAGCUUGCUCUCUGGGUGGCGAGUGGCGGACGGGUGAGGAAUACAUCGGAAUCUACCUUUUCGUGGGGGAUAACGUAGGGAAACUUACGCUAAUACCGCAUACGACCUACGGGUGAAAGUGGGGGACCGCAAGGCCUCACGCGAUUAGAUGAGCCGAUGUCCGAUUAGCUAGUUGGCGGGGUAAUGGCCCACCAAGGCGACGAUCGGUAGCUGGUCUGAGAGGAUGAUCAGCCACACUGGAACUGAGACACGGUCCAGACUCCUACGGGAGGCAGCAGUGGGGAAUAUUGGACAAUGGGCGCAAGCCUGAUCCAGCCAUACCGCGUGGGUGAAGAAGGCCUUCGGGUUGUAAAGCCCUUUUGUUGGGAAAGAAAUCCUGUCGAUUAAUACUCGGUGGGGAUGACGGUACCCAAAGAAUAAGCACCGGCUAACUUCGUG
rnacentral:rRNA from 1 species